rnacentral:rRNA from 1 species
GAUGAACGCUGGCGGCGUGCCUAAUACAUGCAAGUCGAGCGAACAGACGAGGAGCUUGCUCCUCUGACGUUAGCGGCGGACGGGUGAGUAACACGUGGAUAACCUACCUAUAAGACUGUGAUAACUUCGGGAAACCGGAGCUAAUACCGGAUAAUAUAUUGAACCGCAUGGUUCAAUAGUGAAAGACGGUUUUGCUGUCACUUAUAGAUGGAUCCGCGCCGCAUUAGCUAGUUGGUAAGGUAACGGCUUACCAAGGCAACGAUGCGUAGCCGACCUGAGAGGGUGAUCGGCUCAACUGGAACAGAGACGCGGAGCGGAUUCCUAAGGAAGGCAGGGAUAGAGAAACAGCAGCAAAAGGAAAGGGACGGAGGGGGCAACGCGGCGUGAGAGAUGAAGGUCUUACGAUCGUAAGAGGUGGUUAAUAGGGAAGAACAAAUGUGUAAGGAACUAUGCACGACUUGACGGUACCUAAUCAGAAAGCCACGGCCAACUACGUG